UUUUUGUAGUCAUACUUGGAAGAAGAGGUCAUUCUUCCAGGUCCUAGUGGCAGAGAGGAGCACAGGGUUCUUCCCUACCGGGAGCCAUCCUUGUCCACAGUGUUGGUGAGGAAGCUAGGCCUGGAUUCUUUGACUGUAUGUAUCUAAGACUUCUCACAAUUCUGUGGACAAGUGACUAAGGACACAACCUUUGCAGAAAACAAUA
ensembl:snoRNA Gm25139 predicted gene, 25139